CAUGUAGGCGGAUUAAUAAGUUUGAAGUGAAAUCCUAUAGCUUAACUAUAGAACUGCUUUGAAAACUGUUAAUCUAGAAUGUGGGAGAGGUAGAUGGAAUUUCUGGUGUAGGGGUAAAAUCCGUAGAGAUCAGAAGGAAUACCGAUUGCGAAGGCGAUCUACUGGAACAUUAUUGACGCUGGGAUGCGAAAGCGUGGGGAGCAAACA
rnacentral:rRNA from 1 species